rnacentral:rRNA from 1 species
UACGGAGGGUGCAAGCGUUAUCCGGAUUCACUGGGUUUAAAGGGUGCGUAGGUGGAUUGGUAAGUCAGUGGUGAAAUCUCCGGGCUUAACCCGGAAACUGCCAUUGAUACUAUCUGUCUUGAAUAUCGUGGAGGUAAGCGGAAUAUGUCAUGUAGCGGUGAAAUGCUUAGAUAUGACAUAGAACACCAAUUGCGAAGGCAGCUUACUACCCGAAUAUUGACACUGAGGCACGAAAGCGUGGGGAUCGAACAGG